ACUGACCGGUGGUCAAACCGGAGGAAGUGGGGAUGACGUCAAGUCCUCAUGGCCUUUAUGACCAGGGCUACACACGUACUACAAUGGCCGGUACAAAGGGCAGCGACACAGCGAUGUGAAGCCAAUCCCGAGAAGCCGGUCUCAGUCCGGAUUGGAGUCUGCAACUCGACUCCAUGAAGUUGGAAUCGCUAGUAAUCGCGGAUCAGCACGCCGCGGUGAAUACGUUCCCGGGCCUU
rnacentral:rRNA from 1 species